UACGGGGGGGGGCAAGCGUUGUUCGGAAUUACUGGGCGUAAAGGGCUCGUAGGCGGCCAACUAAGUCGGAUGUGAAAUCCCCAACUUAACUUGGGAACUGCAUCCGAUACUGGAUGGCUUGAAUCCGGGAGAGGGAUGCAGAAUUCCAGGUGUAGCGGUGAAAUGCGUAGAUAUCUGGAGGAACACCGGUGGCGAAGGCGGGUCUCUGGGCCGAUACUGACGCUGAGGAGCGAAAGCUGGGGAGCGAACAGG
rnacentral:rRNA from 1 species